rnacentral:rRNA from 1 species
AGCGAACGCUGGCGGCAUGCUUAACACAUACAAGUCGCACGGGCAGCAAUGUCAGUGGCGGGCGGGUGGGUAACGCGUAGGAACGUGUCCUGGGGUGUGAGACAACCCCGGGAAACUGGGGCUAAUACCGCAUAUGGGCUGAUGCCCAAAGCCGAGAGGCGCCUUUGGAGCGGCCUGCGUCCGAUUAGGUAGUUGGUGGGGUAAAGGCCUACCAAGGCUGCGAUCGGUAGCUGGUCUGAGAGGACGACCAGCCACACUGGGACUGAGACACGGCCCAGACUCCGACGGGAGGGAGCAGUGGGGAAUAUUGGACAAUGGGCGAAAGCCUGAUCCAGCAAUGCCGCGUGGGUGAAGAAGGUCUUCGGAUCGUAAAGCCCUUUCGACGGGGACGAUGAUGACGGUAACCGUAGAAGAAGCCCCGGCUAACUUCGUG